rnacentral:rRNA from 1 species
AACGAACGCUGGCGGCAUGCCUAACACAUGCAAGUCGAACGAGACCUUCGGGUUUAGUGGCGCACGGGUGCGUAAUGCGUGGGAACCUGCCCUUAGGUUCGGAAUAACUCCCUGAAAGGGGUGCUAAUACCGGAUAAUGUCUUCGGACCAAAGAUUUAUCGCCUUUGGAUGGGCCCGCGUUGGAUUAGCUAGUUGGUAGGGUAAAAGCCUACCAAGGCGACGUUCCAUAGCUGGUCUGAGAGGAUGAUCAGCCACACUGGGACUGAGACACGGCCCAGACUCCUACGGGAGGCAGCAGUGGGGAAUAUUGGACGAUGGGCGAAAGCCUGAUCCAGCCAUGCCGCGUGAGUAAUGAAGGCCUUAGGGUUGUAAAGCUCUUUUACCCGGGAUGAUAAUGACAGUACCGGGAGAAUAAGCUCCGGCUAACUCCGUG